rnacentral:snoRNA from 1 species
AGACCAUGAUAAGGGCAACACCUAACCAAGUCCUUGUAUCUUUCUCAUGCCUUAUACAAUGAUUUAAAAUCUAGCUGCAUGAAUAAUGUAAGAUCAUUCUUCAUUUU